GGUGAACGCUGGCGGCGUGCCUAAGACAUGCAAGUCGGGCGGGCUGUGGGUUUACUCACGGCCAGCGGCGGACGGGUGAGUAACGCGUGGGUGACCUACCUGGAAGAGGGGGACAACCUGGGGAAACCCAGGCUAAUUCCCCAUGUGGUCAUGUCCUGUGGGGCAUGAUUAAAGGGGCGACCUGCUUCUGGAUGGGCCCGCGUCCCAUCAGCUGGUUGGUGGGGUAAGAGCCCACCAAGGCGACGACGGGUAGCCGGUCUGAGAGGAUGGGCGGCGAGAGGGGCACCAGAACACGAGCGGCAGUCCUAGUGGGGGAUACAGGUAAGUAUGUGCCGCAAUGGACGGAAGUCAGACGGUGCGACACCGCGUGGAGGAGGAAGUCCAGCGGUGUGUUUACGCCUGAACCCGGGACGAAAGCUCUGAUGAGGUUGAUGACGGAACUGGAGUAAUAGCGCCGGCCAACUCCGUG
rnacentral:rRNA from 1 species